ensembl:lncRNA
GGCAACUAGAAAAAAGAACCCUCAGCCCUACAAUCACAAGGAAUUGGAUUCUGCAAGCAAGCUGAUGUUAUGGGGCUUACUGAUACUUCAGAUAAGAGCACAGGCUAGCCCAAGAGAUCCUGUAAGGAGGACCCAGCACUUCUGACCUAUACAGCCAUGAGCUAAUGAACAGGUGGACAAAGUAUCCAGUUCUACAGUAUUGGAAGACACCUACAUCAGCGACAUGGUUUCCUGUCCCAAAUAUCAAAACAUAACCAAAUUGAGCACAUGAGCCUCCAGAAAUAGUUGCUUCCACUUCUUCCAGCCGUGCUAACUUGGACCACUUCAAUGCAUCUCCCAGCCUCGGUGUCUGGACACCAGUAUGGUCCACUCAGACUCCAAACUCAGGUGAAGGCAGUGAGUCAUCAGGGGCUUUAGGUGCAAAAAUGUGUGAACACAUUUCUUUGCUUUUUCCUUUUGGGGAUGAGCAAGUUACUUUCAAGUGCAGUCUUUGAGAGUCUAAAAUUCCACGGGUCACAGAUAACGUUUGGAGUUCUCACUCCCUCCACCCCAUCUUGCAAGGGCCCAAGACCUUGUGUGUUUUCCC